rnacentral:lncRNA from 1 species
AGGUCCCAGCUGUCCCCACUCCCAGCUGCAAGCUGUUCGGCUGGGUCCUGCUCAUUUCUCUCUGGGUUUUUCUGUUCCCUCCUCAGCGCCCACAAGCCUUUGUCCUGGAUUUGGGACUCUUGGGCCUUACCUGCAGGUCCUGAGCCCAGCUGGUCCUGGAACUGUUCUAUCUGCCUUAUAGGGCAGUGUCCAUCCUUCUCCGGGCCUGCUCUCUGUCUCCCCAGCACAGGAGUCUUCCAGCUUCUUAAGUGGGCCUUGGAGGGGGGCUCAAGGUGGCAUCACUAUCAGAAAAUGUUAAGAGUGAGAAGAAAAUCCUGGGAGAUGGCUGGAUCCCACCUACUCUUUCUGCUGAGCAUCACUGUUGUUGCUGCUGGCUGAGCACCCAGCCCUCCAUGUACAAAGAAGUUUUUUUCUUGACCUGUUUGAGAGUAAGUUGCCAACACAUUGCCCAUCACCCACGAACACUUCAGUGUGCAUUUCGUGUCACAAUGGCGUUCUCCUACAAACCACAAGGCGACUGUCAAAAUCAGGAUGUUAACAUGGAUGCAUCAUUACUAAAUAAUGGACACAUUCAACAUCUUAUUCAAAUUUCACCAGUUGUCCCGCUAAGGUCCUUUUUCCCUUCCAGAAACCAAUCCAGGAUCCCACGUUGCAUUUAGUUCUUAUGCCUCUUUACUGGUGAUUUUAACCUUGAUCAUUU